rnacentral:rRNA from 1 species
UACGUAGGGUGCGAGCGUUAAUCGGAUUCACUGGGCUUACAGAGUCCGUAGGCGGUCAAGAAAGUUAGGCGUGAAAUCCCUCAGCUCAACUGAGGAAUAGCGCUUAAAACUACUUGGCUAGAGAGAGUCAGAGGUGAGCGGAACUGAUGGUGGAGCGGUGAAAUGCGUUGAUAUCAUCAGGAACACCGGUGGCGAAAGCGGCUCACUGGGGCUUUUCUGACGCUGAGGGACGAAAGCUAGGGGAGCGAACGGC